rnacentral:lncRNA from 1 species
UUUAGCCACUCAGUUUAUCAAAAACUAUAGAAUAGGUGAAACAAUGUUUCAUUUGGUGAAAGAAUAUAAUGAUUUUUACAAAAGUAAAGAGACUCUGGAGGAGAGAGAAGUACCUUGAAAAGAAGGGUCAAAGUAAUACAUUUUAAAUUACUUCGACCAUUUUUAUUUCUACUGGCUUUUAACCCUUAGCUGUACCUAUCUGCUGAAUUUAACUUGAGCUUGCGAGUACAAAUACUGGAUUUUAAACUUGUAUUUCUUGGUAGUAGAUUUUAUAGUCAUAUGGAGAGUGUUGUCUAGCAGUUACCAGCGUAACAGUGCUCACAGCACCUCCAGAAAUAUGUACUGAAACUUACUCUGCGUUUGAGCCAUCUGCAUUGCUGCAAGAAGAGGAGACCCACAUGCUGACUUCUUCCCCACCCUUUUAUUGUGAAUGUUUCAGUCCCGUCAUGAAUGCUAUGUGGCUGUGCUGUGAACUGGAUCUGGGCGUCAACACAAUGGGCAGGCCUGUUCUUUUGUCCAGUUGUUUCCUGUUACAAGCAGCCUUGCAGGAAAGCAGAGUAUCCCUGUCUUGGCCUGGCAGUGAGAGUGCUUGCAGAACUGGUAGCUGUUUCCUGUUGAUCGUGCUUUUCAGAAUCAGUUCCUACAUGUCUUCAACUGUGCGCUGUCUUUAUCUUGCAAUGAAGAACACCUGGAGAACAGGAGGAAUCACUUGUGAACCGGAAGUAUGCCUUGAGCUACAAAGGAGUAUGAGGAUAUUCAGAGGAGUAUGCAACAUUGUAAGCAAAUUAAAUAUUUACUCUGUUUUGACACCAUGACUAUAGAGAAACAACAUCUUUUAAAGGAACUGCAGUUCUCUCAUGUCCACACAUAUUGACUUAUAACUUUACAAUCUCUAAGCAGGGAAUUGGUUCAAUUAUCCCUCAAGGUGUAAGUUUUCUUGUCUCCUCUUUCCAGGGAGCAGAGAAUAUUAAAAUUAAGUCAUACCCUUUU